GCAACCUCAUGGUUCCUAGUCGGAUUCGUUAACCACUGCGCCACGACGGGAACUCUGCUUCACUGUUUCUAAAGGCCUUGUAGUAUUCCAUUUUGUGUCCAUUACUUAAUUUAUUUAACCAUGCCACUAUUUAUGGGCCAAUUCUUCAGUAGGACAUUCUAGAACACACAUCUUUGCAUUGAGGGAGUGUUUUGUAAGAAUGAAAAUGCUGAGUUCAAAGUGUGAAAAGUUUUCCUUUUAAUAGAGUUUGUUGAAUUUUUCUUUGAAAUAUCUUAUUGUUUUAUCCCCCCCACCCCGCCCACCAUGUAGGUUCUGAAAACAGAAGAUGUAAACUAUUCACAUUUGAAAGGAGAAAAGGUGAUGAAUUUGUUGUCAUUGAAUGUACACAGCAAAAGAGCCAUGAGGACUGGGAGCCAGAUCAGCAGUGUUUCUGUUGAGUCCCUUCCAGCGAGCCCCUGGACCAGUAUUGAAUGGAUGUUGCUUUAGGUGCUUGCUUGGUCAAUCUGAAACCCUGGGAGACUGUCUCCUGUGACCAGCACACCCGCACGGCAGAAUGCUGCUAAGAAAACUGCUCUGUGAAGUCACAGCGUGCUGUCUCAGUGACACUACCCAGAAAUCCACAUGGUUCUUCCAGGGGAUGUGGCACCCGUUCCCACCUAAGGAACUUGCCAUCACACCAGCAGCAUGUCACAUUGCUUGUUCCUGCGACCACUUUGAGGAAGAGAAGUGAGGAGGGCCCUCAGGAGGCUGCAAGGCAGCACAUUUCUGUGACCCUGUGAGAUCCAGGAUUUUUUUCGUCUCUAGUGUGUUCCAGAGUAUGGUACAUCUGCCACCGGAGGUCCCUGAGAUGACUCUGGAAGAUCAUUUUCCCAUAUAGGCCAUCACAGAGUAUUGGGUAGAUUUCCCUGCACUAAACAGUAAGUGCCUUUUACUUAUCAAAAUUUUAUUUAGUAAUGUAUAUAUCCAAUCCCAACAUCCCAAUUUAUUCCUCUCCCCAGUAUUUCCCCUUUGGUAACCAUAAGUUUGGCUUUGAAAUCUUUGAUAUGCCUCUGUUUUGUGAAUAAAUUUCUUUGUAUUAUUUUUAAAAAUUAGAUUCCACAUAUUA